rnacentral:rRNA from 1 species
UACGGGGGGGGCGAGCGUUGUUCGGAAUUACUGGGCGUAAAGGGCUCGUAGGUGGCCAACUAAGUCAUGCGUGAAAUCCCUCGGCUUAACCGGGGAACUGCGUCUGAUACUGGAUGGCUUGAGUUUGGGAGAGGGAUGCGGAAUUCCAGGUGUAGCGGUGAAAUGCGUAGAUAUCUGGAGGAACACCGGUGGCGAAGGCGGCAUCCUGGACCAACACUGACACUGAGGAGCGAAAGCCAGGGGAGCAAACGGG